AUUGCAUCGAUGCAUCUUUUGUAAACAUGCCUACUCGCAUCUCACAGCGGUGACGCACACGUUCCCAGAAGCAAGAUUUUCCAGUUUGCGCACUGCUGAUGAGUAAUCCUGAUCGAGCUGGAAGUAGAUUUUUGAAGAAUUAUUACAGGGCUGUUAGAUUAUUUUUGUUUGGAUAGAUUGCUCUAACUCAUUAGACUCCAAAGCUAGCAGGAAAGCACAUAAUACGUCCCGAAGAAUGCCGAUACAAACAUACGAUCAUCUACAUGGGUGACAUGAACGUUAUCAAAUGCUAGAUAUAUUAAUGUUAGCUAGCACUAUUUGCAAAUUGUACAGUUACUAAGUAUUAUUCGCAGAAAGUUUACGAUUGCUAAGCACUACUCGUAGAGUUUACAGUAGCUAGAUUUAUAGAUGCUCAGCCCUAUUUGUAAAGUUUUACACUCACUAAGCUCUUUGUAAAGUUUGCUGGUGCAGAAUGUAUUAGGUGAUACGCAUUAUUCAUAAAGUUUCCAGUCAUUAUAAGCAUUAUUUGUCAAAUUUACUCACUAAGUUUUGUACUCAGUAAGUCUUAUUCUAAAAUUGUUAAAUUGUUGUUAAACGUUAUUCGUAAAGUUUACGGUCGCUAAAUUUUGUAGUCAGUAUUAUUCACACAGUUUACAGUUGUUAAACACCGUAAAGUUUACGGUCGCAAAAUUUUGUAUUCAGUAAGUAUUAUUCACACAGUUUACGGUCAGUAAAUUUUGUAGUCGGUAGGUAUUAUUCACACAGUUUACUGUUGUUAAACACCGUAAAGUUUACGGUCAGUAAAUUUUGUAUUCAGUAAGUAUUAUUCACACAGUUUACUGUUGUUAAACACC
ensembl:lncRNA